ACUCCUACGGGAGGCAGCAGUGGGGAAUUUUGGACAAUGGGCGAAAGCCUGAUCCAGCCAUGCCGCGUGCAGGAUGAAGGCCUUCGGGUUGUAAACUGCUUUUGUACGGAACGAAACGGCCUUUUCUAAUAAAGAGGGCUAAUGACGGUACCGUAAGAAUAAGCACCGGCUAACUACGUGCCAGCAGCCGCGGUAAUACGUAGGGUGCAAGCGUUAAUCGGAAUUACUGGGCGUAAAGCGUGCGCAGGCGGUUAUGUAAGACAGUUGUGAAAUCCCCGGGCUCAACCUGGGAACUGCAUCUGUGACUGCAUAGCUAGAGUACGGUAGAGGGGGAUGGAAUUCCGCGUGUAGCAGUGAAAUGCGUAGAUAUGCGGAGGAACACCGAUGGCGAAGGCAAUCCCCUGGACCUGUACUGACGCUCAUGCACGAAAGCGUGGGGAGCAAACAGGAUUAGAAACCCUUGUAGUCCCA
rnacentral:rRNA from 1 species